rnacentral:rRNA from 1 species
GAUGAACGCUGGCGGCGUGCCUAAUACAUGCAAGUCGAGCGAACAGAUGAGGAGCUUGCUCCUCUGACGUUAGCGGCGGACGGGUGAGUAACACGUGGAUAACCUACCUAUAAGACUGGGAUAACUUCGGGAAACCGGAGCUAAUACCGGAUAAUAUAUUGAACCGCAUGGUUCAAUAGUGAAAGACGGUUUUGCUGUCACUUAUAGAUGUAUCCGCGCCGCAUUAGCUAGUUGGUAAGGUAACGGCUUACCAAGGCAACGAUGCGUAGCCGACCUGAGAGGGUGAUCGGCCACACUGGAACUGAGACACGGUCCAGACUCCUACGGGAGGCAGCAGUAGGGAAUCUUCCGCAAUGGGCGAAAGCCUGACGGAGCAACGCCGCGUGAGUGAUGAAGGUCUUCGGAUCGUAAAACUCUGUUAUUAGGGAAGAACAAAUGUGUAAGUAACUAUGCACGUCUUGACGGUACCUAAUCAGAAAGCCACGGCUAACUACGUG